CUUUCUCCGCCGGCGACCGGCGCACGGGUGAGUAACACGUAUGCAACCUGCCCCUGUCAGGGGGACAACCCGCCGAAAGGCGGGCUAAACCCGCGUACAUGCCACCGGGGCAUCCCGGAGGCAGGAAAGGCUUCGGCCGGACAGGGAUGGGCAUGCGGCGCAUUAGGCAGUAGGCGGGGGUAACGGCCCACCUAACCGACGAUGCGUAGGGGUUCUGAGAGGAAGGUCCCCCACACUGGUACUGAGACACGGACCAGACUCCUACGGAAGGCAGCAG
rnacentral:rRNA from 1 species